rnacentral:rRNA from 1 species
UCGGGAAUUUUGCGCAAUGGACGAAAGUCUGACGCAGCAACGCCGCGUGAGGGAUGAAGGCCUUCGGGUUGUAAACCUCUUUUCUCAGGGACGAUAAUGACGGUACCUGAGGAAUAAGCCCCGGCUAACUCCGUGCCAGCAGCCGCGGUAAUACGGAGGGGGCUAGCGUUGUUCGGAAUUACUGGGCGUAAAGCGCACGUAGGCGGCUUUGUAAGUUAGAGGUGAAAGCCCGGAGCUCAACUCCGGAAUUGCCUUUAAGACUGCAUCGCUCGAAUCAUGGAGAGGUGAGUGGAAUUCCGAGUGUAGAGGUGAAAUUCGUAGAUAUUCGGAAGAACACCAGUGGCGAAGGCGACUCACUGGACAUGUAUUGACGCUGAGGUGCGAAAGCGUGGGGAGCAAA